GCAGGCGCGUAAAUUACCCACUCCCAGUUCGGGGAGGUAGUGACGAAAAAUAACAAUACAGGACUCAUAUCCGAGGCCCUGUAAUUGGAAUGAGUACACUUUAAAUCCUUUAACAAGGACCUAUUGGAGGGCAAGUCUGGUGCCAGCAGCCGCGGUAAUUCCAGCUCCAAUAGCGUAUAUUAAAGUUGUUGCGGUUAAAACGUUCGUAGUUGAAUUUGUGCUUCAUGCAGGUAGUACAUCUAUAAUCGUAGUUUGUACAUUACCUUAUGCAUGUAAGCGUAUUAUCGGUGGAGUUCUAAUAUAUAAUAGUAAAUAUUAUUAUUAUAUAUACCUCCUAUUUGAAACCUACUUCAGUGCUCUUAUCGAG
rnacentral:rRNA from 1 species